CAUGAUCAUAGCGUAUAUCUCUCGUUUUCUUAUAGAGAUUCACGUCGGAUGCUGCAUACAGAUCAAGUGGAAGGAAGUACCUAUGUACGUAACACGCUAGAGACGCUCGAUCGAGCACGUUCGUGAAAUUAGCCUCUCCUCUCUUCUAGUUCUCCGAUGAUAUCGUUCUACAGGCUCGAUCCCAAAGCCGUCUACCGUCAUCGCGAUAGCAUUUCCAGUAAAAGAACGAUCUCGAGAACUUGGGAAUGAGCAAAAAUGGGAACGGAAUCGGACAGUAGACAAAGGGAGGAAAGAAAAGUUACUAAUGUUGAUGGGAUGAAACGUCGGAAGAGAGACUAACUUCUUUUCUUCGUUCGUUUUAGGAUCGUUUUCCGGCGAACGCCAUUUUAGAAGAGAAAGAAUGAGAGAACGAGAGAGAGAGAAAGAGAGGGAUGAUUUGAUAAGAAGAGGUAGGAGAAAUGGGAAAAGAUGGAGGAAGUACUUCGAACGGCGGAAGUAAUUAGAUCGAUAAUAACUUCCUAUUUGCUUAACUUAUCGGAUAUUUCAAGAAGAGACGUCUUUUGAUCGUCGUAAUGGUUAACUAUGCUAACUCGAAGAAGAAAACGAGAAAGGAAGGAGAUGUAAAAAAAAAAAAAAAGAAAGAAAACAAAAAAGGAAGAGAAAAAAAAAAGGAAAACGCUGGAAGAUAGCAACGUUUAUGUAUUUCAUUUUUACGGACAAACUCUCUUAUAUUCUGUAAAUUUCAUCGGAAUCGUUCGUCGGAGGAGUAUACGGAGCGAUGCUUCCAUUUCAACUUUAAUCUCGAUUCUAACGAAGUAUUUUAAAAAGUACGAAUAUUGCGGGCGUACACAAGUGGCAGGAAGGCAGGGAGAAGGAGGAGGGAAGGGGGAGAGGGUUGAGACCCUCCUCACGUUCUCGAGGCAUGCCAAAGUUAUAACGGCGGGCGCGAAAGCAACGAAAUUCAGCAACUCCCUCGGAAGAUUUUAUUCCCGCGUUUUCUUCCCUUCACCCUUCUUCUCCCCCAUCGAAAUGUUUUCGCGCGGUUAACAUCGUAUGGCUGUAAGGGUGCUGUAUAUUCAUAAAGGUGUAUGUGUUCGUGCGUGUGUUUUACGACUAGACUUGUAUGCGUGCGUACGUGGGUGGAUGUGAGAGAGAAAGAGAAAGAGAGAGAGAGAGUGUAUGCAGGCAAAAGAACGAGCACGGUUCUCACUCGUCACUAUUAACGUCCAAGUGGCAUGUAGGGGUGUAUAGAGUGAGAGCGAGAGAGAGAGAGAGAGAGAGAGAGA